GGAGUGAGCUGGGUCAUCCGGAGACCUGCUUCGUGGCAACCUGAACCAUCACGGCUGCAGAGAACAGGUCCUUGGAUACUUGUAAUCCUGGAGUCUCAGAAAAAGGUCUGAUUUGUAAAAAACUAUCCAAGCUCCUAAACAAGUAGAUGGCUAAGAUGUCUUCAUAGAGGACUUAAUUUUCUCAAACAUUCUCUAGUAGAAUAAGUGUUAUUAAUCUGUGUGUCAGGACUUCCCUGGUGGCACAGUGGUUAAGAAUCUGCCUGCCAAUGCAGGGGACACAGGUUCCAUCCCUGGUCCAGGAAGAUCACACCUGCUGUGGAGCAGCUAAGCCCGUGCGCCACAACUAUUGAGCCUGUGCUCAAAAGCCUGCGAGCCACAGCUAUGGAGCCCGAGUGCCACAACUACUGAAGCCCUCAUGCCACAACUACUGAAGCCUGCACGCCUAGAGCUUGUGCUCCCAAACAAGAGAAGCCACCACAAUGAGCAGUCCGCACAGCCCCGGCUCGUCGCAACUAGAGAAAGCCUGUGUGCAGCAAUAAAGACCCAAUACAGCCAAUAAACAAAUAAACAAACAAACAAAACUUUAUAAAAAAAUAAAUGACAAAAGAUGAUGCAAGAAAAUUAAAUACUUUCAAAUGUGUUUGAAAAAUGCAAAAAUUAAAAAACAAAUCUGUGUGUCAUGCUUAUAUCUGAAAUCCAACAUUCUGGACAAGGAGGCAGUAAAGGAGGCAGCUCCGUGCUGUUUUCCUUCAGUAGCAAUCUGCCCUCAUGUUGGGGAAGCAUUAGCAAAGGCCCUGGGGUCAGCUCACCUUGGGAUCUGACCUAGGCCUGUCCCUUACUGGUUGUGUGGCUUUCAGCAAACCAUCUAUUUUGUGCCUCCUUCUCCCCUCCAGGCCCUUGCAUGUGCUGUUUCCCCUGCUGGAAUGCUCCUCAACUUGCCUUUUACUGGGCUGAUUCCUUUCAUGUCUCGGCUUACAUGUCAUGUCCGAGAAGGCUUCCUUGGUCUCCUGGUUACAUAUUUCCUCUCAGCCCCCUGGACGUUUCCU